AGUGAACGCUUGCGGUAGGCCUAACACAUGCAAGUCGAACGGCAGCACAGUAAGAGCUUGCUCUUACGGGUGGCGAGUUGCGGACGGGUGAGGAAUACAUCGGAAUCUACUUUUUCGUGGGGGAUAACGUAGGGAAACUUACGCUAAUACCGCAUACGACCUACGGGUGAAAGCAGGGGAUCUUCGGACCUUGCGCGAUUGAAUGAGCCGAUGUCGGAUUAUCUAGUUGGCGGGGUAAAGGCCCACCAAGGCGACGAUCCGUAGCUGGUCUGAGAGGAUGAUCAGCCACACUGGAACUGAGACACGGUCCAGACUCCUACGGGAGGCAGCAGUGGGGAAUAUUGGACAAUGGGCGCAAGCCUGAUCCAGCCAUACCGCGUGGGUGAAGAAGGCCUUCGGGUUGUAAAGCCCUUUUGUUGGGAAAGAAAAGCAGCAGGUUAAUACCCCGCUGUUCUGACGGUACCCAAAGAAUAAGCACCGGCUAACUUCGUG
rnacentral:rRNA from 1 species